AGCGAACGCUGGCGGCAGGCCUAACACAUGCAAGUCGAACGAACCCUUCGGGGUUAGUGGCGGACGGGUGAGUAACACGUGGGAACGUGCCUUUAGGUUCGGAAUAACUCAGGGAAACUUGUGCUAAUACCGAAUGUGCCCUUCGGGGGAAAGAGUUAUCGCCUUUAGAGCGGCCCGCGUCUGAUUAGCUAGUUGGUGAGGUAAUGGCUCACCAAGGCUACGAGCAGUAGCUGGUCUGAGAGGAUGACCAGCCACAUUGGGACUGGGACACGGACCAAACCGCUACGGGGGGCAGCAGUGGGGAGUCUUGCGCAAUGGGCGAAAGCCUGACGAAGCCAUGCCGCGUGGAUUGUGAAGGUCUUAGGCUUGUAAAAUCCUUUCACGGGUGAAGAUACUGCCUGUAGCCGGAGAAGAAGCCCGGUCUAACUUCGUGCCAGCCGCCGCCGUAACAC
rnacentral:rRNA from 1 species